AAUGGACGAUCUGAAAUUAGGAUAUGAAGUGAACUCUACAAAAGUCACUUAAAUAAACUUAAUUGAAAGAUUCCCAACAGAAACGGAGACAGUAGAAAUGAAAAGCAGUGAAGGAUGCAUACAAUCCAGCUAAUGUUGUUUGAAUGUUGGAGCCUUUCAAAGACUUCCACACUUGUUUCUUCUCUUUGUAUAAUUGCAAUAAGGUAUGAACUGAGUUAUUGUGCAGCAUAGCAACACAGAAAGAUAUGUAGAGAAGGAGAAAGAGACAGAGAGAGAGAGAGAGAGAGACAGGGAGACAGACGGCGAAAUAAAAAAUGGGGUCGAGAGCAAGAGCAGCCGGAGCCUUACCAAACCUCAUCCGGACCCUCCGGAAAGAAGCCCACAACCCAACAGUCACUCCCGUCUCUCAGACGUGCCUUCUCUCGCUACGAUCAUAUCAAUCUCAUCGACAACGUCCCCGACAACCAGCUUCGCUUUAAGCGUUGCACAUAAUGGAUUCACAGUGAAUGGUGUGGAUUAUGAAGGAAGCUUGCUUUGUGUUGGCAAUAUGUUAAUGGCUUGGGCUCCUACCAAAUUCUCUGAUGUCACUCCUCAUAGCUUAUCAAUCUUCCAACUUGUGCAGCCUAUAACUGGUAAGUUUCAAACUUCGGUUUUAGGUUGGCCUUAGUCAAUUACUUUAGUUAGACACAUAGGUGGAAUUCAGAAGAACAAAUUUCCUUUCUUUAAGAAACACCAGGUCAAUAUGUGACCAGUUCCUUUGUACGAAACAUGGGCAGACAGCUUAGAAUACCUCGAACAUUCUAACACUAAUAAUCUAACAUUCUCAUGAUAACACCAAAAGCGAACCUAAAGGGUCUUGGAUCUUCGAGUAACUGAGCCGAAAACCUUUUUAUAACUAUAGGCUACAGCGAAUAGAGUUCUUCACAUAGCAUGUGACCAAGAAUAAGCACGUCAAUAUACAUCCUUUUAUUGUUAACUUGUAGCAUUGUGAUCAUGUUUCAUCCUUUGCAUCCAAAUCUGAAAUAGUGUUGACCUACUAGUACAUGUCAUUCUGAUGGGAAAUUAAAAUGUCAACUAAACUGAUAUGUACAACCUUGGCUUCAAUCAUGGGGUUCUUUUAAUUUGCUUUCCAAACAGAUUUUAUUUUCCUCAUCUCCCUUGAUUUGUAUGGCUUUUAAAAUGAUUCUAAUAAAAACAAUGUAGAAAAUUGUAAGAAAUUCUAGUGCAUAGAAAGAGAAAUGUAGACUGCCUCAAAAGUUGUUGGCUCUUACAGAUUUUGUUGAUUGCUGUGAUGAGUUUCGGGCAAUGAAAAUUCGAAGAUGAAAGGGUAUCACUUUUUCAUUAAUUUUUGGAUCUCUUUACAAAGUUGAAAAAUUGCAGAUGUAAUUCCUUUUUCCUUCAUGUAUGUUGGUAUCCGUUACAUCUUGUCAUGACACUGGAAACAAUAAGUCACUCUUUAUUUAUAAAAUAUUUCUUGUUA